rnacentral:pre_miRNA from 1 species
GACCAAGUACGGGUUUGCAAGCCACAUAUAAUUACAGUAUGUAUGUGACUUGCAAAGCCAAGCUUGUAU